CUCAUCUUCCAAUUGGGACCAAGUCGAGCUGGAAAAUUCAGUUCCAAGUCACCGGCUUUCUCUUUUGUAAUAAAGCCGGCUGAAGAACCAGGCUCUGAUUUUUUCCACCUGUCAGACCAAAACCCAUUUGUUUCCACGCCAAAUUCUAAAACCCAAUUGUCUCAACACCAAAUUAUCUCUCUUUUGCUCUCAAAGUUUUGGUUUAUCAUGCUCUGGGAUUCAAAUGAAUUCCUUGCUUCUGUAAAUUGGUCUCAACAACAUGACUGACUUAAUGGAAACAUCAGUUCCUGUUUCCUGCACGAAUUCACAAAUCCCGGUCGAUCUUUUUGUGUCCAAGAAACAUCCUGGCUUGCCACGUGGUGAAUUGGGUUUCGUUGAUUCUUCUGGUAACACCGUUUACAAGGUCACUCGUCAAUCUCUGACGUCUUCAUCUAAUAAGCGUGUGUUGCUUGACGCCGCCGGAAAUCCUCUGUUUGCUUUGUGCCGUAACGAUAAGGGAUGUUGGCAAGGAUAUAAGGGUGGUGAUGCUGGGGAGAAGGACUUGGUGUUCAGAGUGAAGAGGACGAAAAGUAAACUUACCAGAACUGAGUUGGAGGUUUUUCUUGUUGGUGAGAAUUCAGCAGAUUCAACCUGUGAUUUCAAAGUGAAAGGCUUCCCUUACCAAAGAUCUUGCACAAUCUACACAGGCAAUGACAUAGUUGCUCAGACUAGUCUGAUGUACAAAUUGCACCAGCUUUUUCCAAAGAGGGGAAAGUUUCGAUUGACUAUAUUUCCCGGAUCUGUCCAUCAUGCUUUGGUUGCGGCUUUGAUUGUAAUAUUUCUGGAUUGAUUGAGGAUUAUAGAAGAACUGGUAUUCAAACAACUUUCAAAAUUCUCAACACCAAAUGAUGCCACAACGUAACAGGGGCACAGAAUCAACAAGACAUGAAGCAGUUAAAUCCCUGGCUGCAAACCUUUAUGAUUUUUUGAAGUUUGCAACAUGGGGCUUGGAUCUUACAGGGGCCCAAUGUGUUGGUGUAUUUAAAUUCCCUUGUGGUUUUCUCUUUUUAUAGUACUGGGAUGUGUUCCUCAACCAAACCAGGACAAAAAGAUAUGAGCAAAUGAUCUUUCCUUCUUUCUCUCCUUUGGAUUGUUACUACAGAGAUGAGAGCAUGAGAGAAUGGGAACAUUUCCUUUUUUUGAAAAAAA